AACUCGACUACAUGAAGCUGGAAUCGCUAGUAAUCGCAGAUCAGAAUGCUGCGGUGAAUACGUUCCCGGGUCUUGUACACACCGCCCGUCACACCAUGGGAGUCGGAAAUGCCCGAAGCCGGUGACCAAACCAAUAAGGAAGGAGCCGUCGAAGGCAGGUCUGAUAACUGGGGUGAAGUCGUAACAAGGUACC
rnacentral:rRNA from 1 species